rnacentral:tRNA from 1 species
GGGGAUUUAGCUCAGCGGUAGAGCGCUUGCCUAGCAAGCGUGAGGCCCUGGGUUCGGUCCCCAGCUCCG